rnacentral:lncRNA from 1 species
GCUGUCUGCACCGCUCCCCUGCCUUCUUCCGGGCUCCCAGAGCACCGCUAUGGAGAUGCUCUCCCGGCAUUUGAGGAAGAAUUGAUUGUCCUCAUCCUGCAACUGUACUUGCCCAACCGAUAUUUAUUGAUGCCUGCAGUGUCCUGGGUGCCUACCAAGGGGCACAGAACUGGAUCCGACUCAGACCCUGCCUGCCUUCAGGUUGCUUGAAGAUGAACAGAGAGAUCGGACCUCUGCAUGAAGCCAGACUGCUCAUCAUUCCAGACAUCUUCAGCUGCUACACCCAGAACAAGCAUUCGAAAUAUGAACAGGAUGGUGAGCCAGAUCUUUCCAAUCAUGGUGGAGUGGAUGUGAACUUCCUCCAGAGUAUCUCCAAGGAGAUUCCAGUCCCCCAUGUUUAUUUAGUCAGCCAUCUUAGCUCUGAUCCACAUCAAAUAAGAGGCAGAUAAAUUCUUCCAUUCUGAAGGGAGCACUAUUUCUUAAAGCAACC